rnacentral:rRNA from 1 species
GACAGAGGGGGCAAGCGUUGCUCGGAAUCACUGGGCGUAAAGGGCGCGUAGGCGGGAUGGCAAGUCAGUCGUGAAAUCUCUCGGCUCAACCGAGAAACGUCGGCUGAUACUGCCGUUCUUGAGGGAUGCAGAGGAGACUGGAAUUCCCGGUGUAGCGGUGAAAUGUGUAGAGAUCGGGAGGAACACCCGGUGGCGAAGGCGGGUCUGC